rnacentral:ncRNA from 1 species
UUGAGCCGUAUGCGGUGAAAGUCGCACGUACGGUUCUAAGGGGGCCCUGGAUCAGUAAUGAUCUAGGGCUACCCGAC